rnacentral:pre_miRNA from 1 species
UUAGCUCAUAUUUGUAUGGAAUGGGAUCGUUUGCAUACGUUUGCCGCUAGGGGCGCUGUUCCAACUGCAUACAAAGUUGGAUUA